rnacentral:rRNA from 1 species
AUUGAACGCUGGCGGCAUGCCUUACACAUGCAAGUCGAACGGCAGCACGGGAGCAAUCCUGGUGGCGAGUGGCGAACGGGUGAGUAAUAUAUCGGAACGUGCCCAGUCGUGGGGAUAACGUAGCGAAAGUUACGCUAAUACCGCAUACGAUCUAAGGAUGAAAGCGGGGGACUCGCAAGAGCCUCGCGCGAUUGGAGCGGCCGAUAUCAGAUUAGGUAGUUGGUGGGGUAAAGGCUCACCAAGCCAACGAUCUGUAGCUGGUCUGAGAGGACGACCAGCCACACUGGAACUGAGACACGGCCCAGACUCCUACGGGAGGCAGCAGUGGGAAUAUGGACAAUGGGCGCAAGCCUGAUCCAGCCAUGCCGCGUGCAGGAUGACGGUCCUAGUGGAUUGUAAACUGCUUUGUACGGAACGAACGGUGAGCUC